CGGGAAGUUUGGGGAAGAGUUUCUGUGUAAAAACCACAAGGCGGUGCUUAGGGCUGGUGGUGGGACUUGAGGGCCUAUGAGGUUAGGGGGCUCUGAGAACUGCAGAGAGCAGGAAGAGAAUGAAUGUGAGGUCCAAGGGAGCUGAUGGUUGGGAUGCUUGGCCCAUUGCAACUGGGCAACUUUCUCCAUAAACUGGCCAAGAACGAUGGUCCUCCUAAACCUUACCUAAGCUGGUUUAUAAGAAAAAGACUUCAUACUGAGAGGUAAAGAGGAGCCAGGGAGUCUAGGGAUGACUUUGUCCUGACACUAAAAGGUACAGGUGGGAGAAUAAUAGACUUCUGCCUCCAUCUAUAGAGCAGUAAUAAACAAUGCCUGCCAAUGCUGGGAGUUAGGCUGUUAGAACAGAGAGCUCUAUAAUGCUUCCUAAGGGGACUAACUAUUCUGAAGCAAGAAUGAGAAGACUCAAAUGCAAGGACCCUAUUAAAAUGUAGAUCUUGCUGGCAAGCAAUCAAGAGAAGAUUAGUCACAAUAGUGCUGGUAGCAAGUGAAAACAAUGGAUAGUUCCUCUUUACAAACAAGAGCAUCAAGCAGCUGAGAAAACCCCUCUUGAUUUUAGGAGAAAACCUCAAAGACCGUCCCUGCCUUAGAAAGCAUCUGAUUGAAUUUCACUCUGGGGCUCCUGGUUUCAGAGUCAGCACUCAGACCAUGACAGAAAAGACUAGGUAGAACGGUAUGGUGGGAGAAGAUGUGACAGAUGUGUUCCAGGCUUAAAAUAUCAGAAAGCAGAAAGGGGUCCAGAAUCUGCGUAGGCUCUAUCCUUCAAAACCCACCUCUAGUGAUCUAUAUCCACCAGCUAGGAGACCCUGUCUUCCAAAUAUUCCACAGCCUCCCAAACAGCAGUACUAUAUGGGAACCAAGUUCUUAAACAUAUGAACCUGUCGGAAGCAACUUACAUCCAAGUCGCAGCAUUCACAUUUAUUUAUAUCAGUGUGGAUGCAUACAUAUUUAUUCUAUACUUUGUGUUAUCAUUCAAUAUGUCUAUAUUCAUUUUAUUGUGUAUAUUGCUGCAAUUUCAUAGAGACUUUUUUUUCUUCCUUUGGCAUACCUCCAUCCUUGUAGGUGUGUGUGUUGGGGGGAGUCAAUAUUUUGGAGAAUAGUAUGUCAAUGUUUGGCAUGGUAUGGUGUUGUCACACCAUUUCUAAAGUGGCAUUCUUAUUUUGCAUUUCUAUUAGAAAUGGUUGUGUGUCCCUGUUGCUAUGUGUCUUAACAAGCAACUGACACAAUAUUUUAAAAAAGAUGACCAUUUCUUUUCAUUUUUGUGUCCUAGUACUGGAAUUCAAGACCAGACGCUUGUAUAUGCCAGAUAUACUGUCUGAUUUUUGGUUUUGUUUGUCAAGUUGGGAAGAAGGAACAUUUGUUUAAGAACUGCCUUUAUUAGCUAGCCUUUGGGCAUGUGUGUGGGACAUCUUCUUGACUGCUGAUUGAUAGAGGAAAGGUCUAGCCCACUGUGAGUGGUCCCUUGCUUAGAUUCGGCCUCCAGAUUUCUGUCCUCAAAUUCCUGCCUUGACUUCCUUCCACAGUGGACUGUCACCUGUAAGCCAAAUAAACCCUUUCCCAGAA